GAACGCUAGCGACAGGCCUAACACAUGCAAGUCGAGGGGCAGCACAAGGAGCAAUCUGAGGUGGCGACCGGCGCACGGGUGAGUAACACGUAUGCAACCUGCCUGUAAGCGGGGAAUAGCCCGUUGAAAGACGGACUAAUACCGCAUAAUACUAAAUUACUGCAUGGUAAUUUAUUUAAACAUUUAUGGCUUACAGAUGGGCAUGCGCAUGAUUAGCUAGUUGGAGAGGUAACGGCUCCCCAAGGCAACGAUCAUUAGGGGUUCUGAGAGGAAGGUCCCCCACACUGGUACUGAGACACGGACCAGACUCCUACGGGAGGCAGCAGUGAGGAAUAUUGGUCAAUGGACGAGAGUCUGAACCAGCCAAGUCGCGUGCAGGAAGAAUGUCCUAUUGGAUUGUAAACUGCUUUUGCAGGGGAAUAAAGUGCAUCACGUGUGAUGUUUUGUAUGUACUCUGCGAAUAAGGAUCGGCUAACUCCGUGCCAGCAGCAGC
rnacentral:rRNA from 1 species